rnacentral:lncRNA from 1 species
GGAGGCAGGAAAAACCCAGCGUCCAGGCCACUUACCGAGCCGAGGAGGGACCUAGAUUCCCGCCGCUCCGCUCUCGCGGUGGCCGGUCCGCCCUCCGCGCACCCCGAGGCUGCACCCAGCACCCCAGACGCGAGACGUGGAGGAACGCUGUGAACGAGCCGGGAGACCCUCCAAGUUGCUCUGGGCUCCGUGGAGCGUCAAGGUCCAAGACACAACUUGGCAAAGACUUGUGCCACAGUCACCGAAGAUGUUUGUGCGGAGACCCUCCUGCGGGGAACGACGGCGCUCGGCGGCGCCCCGCUCUCCUCCUCUCCACCCCCUCACCUCCAGCCCGCCUCCCGCCGGCCGCCCGCCUCCGGGCCGCGAGCCCCUCGGGCGGCUGUCAGCUCCCGGCCGCCGCCG